AAGUCGUAACAAGGUAUCUGUAGGUGAACCUGCAGAUGGAUCAUUUCGAUGAAAACCUUUUUUCUGAGGUGUGGCUCGCACCUGUCCAACUAAACUUGAGCUACCAAAUUUUAACACGGUUGCAUCGGUUGGCUGUCAAACAGUGCGGCGCGUCCUUCCCUAAUUUUUAUUUUUUUAAUUAUUUGGGAGAGGCGUUGCCAAGCUGGGCGGCGGUCGACACAACAAUGAAACACUUUUGAUGAUCUAGGAUUUGAAUGAAAGUUCAUUUUUACGAUGGAACCGACUGGUAAUGCGGUCGUCUAAAUCUAAAAAACAACUUUUGGCAACGGAUCUCUUGGUUCUCC
rnacentral:misc_RNA from 1 species